rnacentral:lncRNA from 13 species
CAUCGGCUCAGUAUCACGCAGUGAAAUAACGGUGUGUGAUGGUGUGUGAUGGUGGAAGUGGAAGUGUGGAACAGUGUGGAAAUGGCUAAUCGCCGAGUGCCGUGCUUGCUGGUACAAGGCCGUGCAUGCUCGAUCGCUUGUCGCAACUAGUCGCAAUUCGAGCACCGAAUCAGAGAGAAGCAGAGCGAAAUAGCUACUGCGCACGCAUAGCGGCUAGUAUGGCUGAAUAUGGCUGUUGUGUAAAAAUAAAGGUUAGAGAGUGUAAAGAUCAAUAUACAUACAUACACGUACGUUGGUUUUGUACAGUAAAGCUGUUGAGCUAAUGCAGUUAUAAUCAAUCACUGGUAUUUGAAAAAGUAACAUCAAGAAACAGCUUUUGUCAAGACGAGGCUGACUGGAACAGUAGAGAUUUCUCGGCCCCGUACGUAGUAAGAGGCAAUUUUUAAUUUUGACGGCGGCUAUCUUAUAGUACUAGUCCGCAAACAUACGUCGGAAUUUUAUCCGGUCAUAAAAAAUCCUUAAGCCUUAUGUAAAAUUUAACGGAGAAUAAGACACAUCCCAAAUAAUUUCCCAGAUUUCAGACUCAUACACCGGAAUUUGGAAUCAAGGGCUUGUAUGGGAGCUAUUAAAAGUUAUUCUAUUGCUUUCAAUUGAAAGCGGAAAUCAGGAAACCACGAUUAAGGAUUAAAGAUCGGUGUACUUGAAAUAUCGGAUUAUUAUUACACGAGCAAUAUUGUUUGUAUACACCACUUUUAUAAGAUCAGACAAUGGAAAGUACAUCAAAUACAAGUGACGACGAUAUCCAACAAACAUGCCAGGAAAAUCGUAAAAAGAUA